rnacentral:rRNA from 1 species
CCUACGGGCGGCAGCAGUGGGGAAUAUUGCACAAUGGGGGAAACCCUGAUGCAGCGACGCCGCGUGAGUGAAGAAGUAAUUCGUUAUGUAAAGCUCUAUCAGCAGGGAAGAAAAUGACGGUACCUGAGUAAGAAGCCCCGGCUAACUACGUGCCAGCAGCCGCGGUCAUACGUAGGGGGCAAGCGUUAUCCGGAUUUACUGGGGGUAAAGGGAGCGUAGACGGCAGUGCAAGUCUGGAGUGAAAGGCGGGGGCUCAACCCCCGGACUGCUCUGGAUACUGUACGGCUGGAGUGCAGGAGAGGUAAGUGGAAUUCCUAGUGUAGCGGUGAAAUGCGUAGAUAUUAGGAGGAACACCAGUGGCGAAGGCGGCUUACUGGACUGUAACUGACGUUGAGGCUCGAAAGCGUGGGGAGCAAACAGGAUUAGAUACCCUGGUAGUC